GCCUUGAGGACUAGCCUGGCUGCCCUGGAGCAGAUCCAAACAGCAAAGACCCAAGAACUGAAUAUGCUCCGGGAACAGACCACUGGGCUGGCAGCUGAGUUGCAGCAGCGGCAGGCUGAGUACGAGGACCUUAUGGGACAGAAAGAUGACCUCAACUCCCAGCUCCAGGAGUCAUUACGGGCCAAUAGUCGGCUGCUGGAACAACUUCAAGAAAUAGGGCAGGAGAAGGAGCAGUUGACCCAGGAAUUACAGGAGGCUCGGAAGAGUGCUGAGAAGCGGAAGGCCAUGCUGGAUGAGCUAGCAAUGGAAACGCUGCAAGAGAAGUCCCAGCACAAGGAAGAGCUGGGAGCAGUUCGUCUACGGCAUGAGAAGGAGGUGCUGGGGGUGCGUGCCCGCUAUGAGCGUGAGCUCCGAGAGCUGCAUGAAGACAAGAAGCGUCAGGAGGAGGAGCUCCGUGGGCAGAUCCGGGAGGAGAAGGCCCGGACACGGGAGCUGGAGACUCUUCAGCAGACAGUGGAAGAACUUCAAGCUCAGGUACACUCCAUGGAUGGAGCCAAGGGCUGGUUUGAACGGCGCUUGAAGGAAGCCGAGGAAUCCCUGCAGCAGCAGCAGCAGGAACAAGAGGAAGCCCUCAAGCAGUGUCGGGAGCAGCACGCUGCCGAGCUGAAGGGCAAGGAAGAGGAGCUACAGGAUGUGCGGGAUCAGCUCCAGCAGGCCCAGGAGGAGCGGGACUGCCACCUGAAGACCAUUAGCAGCCUGAAGCAGGAGGUGAAGGACACAGUGGAUGGGCAGAGGAUCCUGGAGAAGAAGGGCAGUGCUGCGCUCAAGGACCUCAAGCGGCAACUGCAUUUGGAGCGGAAACGAGCAGAUAAGCUGCAGGAGCGGCUGCAGGACAUCCUCACUAACAGCAAGAGCCGCUCAGGCCUUGAGGAGCUGGUUCUCUCAGAGAUGAACUCACCAAGCCGGACCCAGACAGGAGACAGCAGUAGCAUCUCCUCCUUCAGCUACCGGGAGAUCUUGCGGGAAAAGGAGAGCUCGGCUGUUCCAGCCAGGUCCUUAUCCAGCAGCCCUCAAGCCCAGCCCCCUCGGCCAGCAGAGCUGUCAGAUGAGGAAGUGGCUGAGCUCUUUCAGCGGCUGGCAGAGACACAGCAGGAGAAAUGGAUGCUGGAGGAGAAGGUGCUGCCUGCCUGCUCUGCCUGCCCUGCCUGCCCAUCCCCACUUGAAGUGCCCUUGGGGGUGUGGGGUCUGCCCGGGCCUGCCUCAUGUGUGAACAUGUACAGUAGAGGGGUCUCAGGUGGGCUGGGCCAUCUUGCAGGUGAAGCACCUGGAGGUGAGCAGUGCUUCCAUGGCAGAGGACCUCUGCCGGAAGAGCGCCAUCAUUGAGACCUACGUCAUGGACAGCCGGAUCGGUCAGUGUCCCCUCCCCAGCCCUCAGCCCUGGUCCAGCCUUCACCUGGCUCUCCCUCUCCAUUCUGUGCUGCGGCUUCUCUCCUCUCCUCUCGGAACUCAGCAAAGCUACUGACAAGACCAUGGCCUCUGGAGGGGAGAACAGGAAAUCUCUUGAUCUCGCCUCCUCCCUCUUCUCUCUUUCUCUGUCAUCUCUCCACUCUCCAUUGUGUCUCUCUGUCCACUUUCUCCUUUCCUCUCCCUGUGCCUCAUCUUCCUCUCCUCUCUCUCUCCCUUCUCUCUUCUCCGUUUCUCUUUUUCACCCCACUCCUUCAUCUUGUCUUGCUGUCUAUAUAGUUUUCCUCCUCUGUAUCUUCAUUGCUUUUGUUUUCUUUCAAACCUUCUCCUUCACAGAUUUUUCUUUAUUAAUCAGAAUCAUACUGACCAACAUGUGCUGAGGACUUUCUGUGUGUUCUGUGCUUCACAUGCAGUCAUGUGCAUCUUUCCAGUUCCACAAGUUAGUUAUCCUCAUUUCUCGGGGCCAUAGAGCUAGUGAGUGACAGAGCUAGAUUUUGUAUGUCAAAGCCUCUGUCCUACAUGACAUGGCUUUUCCUGCUCCCUUCUCCCCUGGUAUUCGUCUCCCUCUUUUCUCCUCUGGCUCUGCCUGGCUCUCCUCUGGCUCUGCCGAGGGGGUGGUUUUCAGCCUGGGCCCUUGCAGAUGUGUCUGUGGCAGCAGGCCACACAGACCGCAGCGGGCUGGGCAGCGUCCUGAGAGACCUAGUGAAGCCAGGCGACGAGAACCUUCGGGAGAUGAACAAGAAGCUGCAGAACAUGCUGGAGGAGCAGCUCACCAAGAAUAUGCACUUGCACAAGGAUAUGGAAGUUCUGUCCCAGGAAAUUGUGCGGCUCAGCAAGGAGUGCGUGGGGCCUCCUGACCCAGACCUAGAGCCAGGAGAAACCAGCUAAAGACCUGCAGGCUGCACCCACGUCCUCCCCUUCCUACCCCCUAGGAUGCCAUUCCCUUGGGCUGUGGUGGAAAAAUGAGGGCUGGAGCCAAAAUCAAAUAGCUUGGGAGACUGGACAUUAAAGGGGCUAGAGGCCUGAUGGUUAGUGUUAAUGAUCCUGUCUUAGGGCAGAGGCCACCAGGGAGAGGGGAUCCGGAGGGAAGGGGCAGGGAUUUCUCCUUCUUCUUGGUCCUGGCUCCCAAGGGCUUCUGUCUUCAUCUCUGCAUGAGCUCUCCUUCCCAGAGACCAACUCUUUUUUAUUUUAUUUUAUUUUAUUUUUUAAUUUAUGUCUGGAGCCUGGCUACUCUGCAUUUGGGAUUGGGGAUGUUGGGUGGGUGUGUGGUCCAUGUUCAGCGUUCUAGCAACACGUGUGUGUGUGUGUAAAGGCUGUGCAGCCAAAAUACCAUCUGGCCAGACGGGCCCACCCACUGA
rnacentral:sRNA from 1 species